GCGGAAGUAGUUCAGCGGUAGAACACCACCUUGCCAAGGUGGGGGUCGCGGGUUCAAGUCCCGUCUUCCGCUCCA
rnacentral:tRNA from 2 species